CCCUUAGAUGUUCUGGGCCGCACGCGCGCUACACUGACUGCUCCAACAAGUUACCUGGGCUGACAAGCAUCCGGGAAAUCUUGCAAAGGCAGUCGUGAUGGGGAUAGAUUCUUGUAAUUUUUGAUCUUCAACGAGGAAUUCCUAGUAAACGCAAGUCAUCAGCUUGCAUUGAUUACGUCCCUGCCCUUUGUACACACCGCCCGUCGCAUCUACCGAUUGAAUGGAGAGGCAAAAUCUUCGGACCGUGACGCUUGGGAGUCAAAUCUCGGACUGUCGUGGGAAGUGGAUUAAACCUUUCUAUUUAGAGGAAGGUAAAGUCGUAACA
rnacentral:rRNA from 1 species